rnacentral:rRNA from 1 species
GAUGAACGCUAGCGGGAGGCUUAACACAUGCAAGUCGAGGGGCAGCACGGGUAGCAAUACUUGGUGGCGACCGGCAGACGGGUGAGUAACGCGUAUGUAACCUACCCCAUACAGAGGGAUAACUCGAAGAAAUUCGGACUAAUAUCUCAUAAGACCACACGAGGACAUCCGAGAGUGGUUAAAGUUCCGGCGGUAUGGGCUGGGCAUGCGUAACAUUAGCUAGUUGGUAAGGUAACGGCUUACCAAGGCUUCGAUGUUUAGGGGUCCUGAGAGGGUGGUACCCCCACACUGGUACUGAGACACGGACCAGACUCCUACGGGAGGCAGCAGUGAGGAAUAUUGGUCAAUGGGCGCAAGCCUGAACCAGCCAUCCCGCGUGCAGGAAGACGGCCCUAUGGGUUGUAAACUGCUUUUCCAGGGGGCGAAUAGCUCUUACGUGUAAGGGUAUGACUGUACCUUGGGAAUAAGCAUCGGCUAACUCCGUG